ACCCUGCGUCCAUCUUUACGGCAGAGCCGCCGCAGCAUCCUUCAGGAGGGAGAAAACACAACAACCGAGAGCUUUCACUGUUUUUAUGACCCGAUUCCGUCUAGUUAUAAUUAGAUGCAAAGAUAAAGUGCAGCAGCUUGUUAAUCCCUCAGUAUCACGCAGAUCUUUGGAGUCCACUCUCACUGUGAUGCAAAGAUAAUAAGGUCACUGAAAAUCUAAGUGUUUUUGAUUUGCAUCAGAGUGAGAAUCCCAGCCUUAGAUUCUCUUUCUUCCCCUCAUCCUUUCAAAUCCUCUUAUGCAAUAAUUGAUGGCUAAAUCAUGUGUUCUAUUAUUCAUAUAACUCUUAGGCUGGGUGGAUAUUCACCUCCCUGCACCCCCUAGGCUGCAAUAAACUGGUUUGUUUUGUAUUUGUAAUGGACCUGCUAUGAACAGCAUUCCAUCCGGAUGCAAAAAGGGUCAUUUGUUAUGCGUUAGCAGCGAGCUAAGACAUCAGAUGACCAGAGGAAUUGACUGAAAAUGAAGUAAGAUAUUUAGAGGAGCCAGUACAGCUGCCUGAAGUUUGAGUAACAUAUUAAUUACACCUCCAUCAACUGUAUAAACAAGGAGAAUCAAGAUCAAAAGAAACGUUGAUGCUGCUGCCUGAGAUUGAUUAGGGUCACCAUGGCAACUCCACUCAGGAAAGCUGUAAAAUAUAUCAAAAUGCAAUUUUAUCCAUCCAAUUUUCCAUGACUUGUUUCAAGUCUGAUGGAGCUCACUUGUUUCACCACAUUUCUGUUUUCAGUAAAUUUUGUGCUAUUAAAAAUCAACGCAUACGGUUUUUGAUUGACAGUGAGAUUCAGUGAUCUUUGCAGCUCAUUCCAGUCCUUGGAGCAGCAAACUUGAAUGAGGAGCGGCCGAAGAAGGUGUGAGCUUUGGGAAUAACCAUAGGGAUUAGGUUACUGGAACAUAAAUUGCGCUGGUUGUUGGAAGUGAUGAGUAAUGAGCGAAGAUAUGACGGGGUUCUACCGGGGACUGUUUUGUAUUUAAAUUGAUACCAACAACCUGCGGGAAUGGAGUGAUGGCCAGGUAACGAGUGAGUACAGAUCAUUAUGAUGAGUAGUAAAAAAGGCACUAUUGACGAAACAGAUUGCUGAGUGAUAAAUGACAUCGAGUUUAUGAAGACGUUUUUGGAAGCAGUCCUAUAAAUGAUGUCACCGUAAUCUUAUAAGAUAGGAAGGAUUGUCAUUUUGACCAACACAUUCUCACAAACAAGACGUCAAAAUAUGACGCGUGUGACCAAGCCUCAAUAUAUGACGAUUCGGGACGCCCCAGCGCAUCAGGAGACGACGAUCAGGGACACGCUGGGUCACGUGGCUCCGCUGGCAUCACUGUUUGACGCGCGCGGUCACACGGACAUUAUUCGACUAUUUAACCUUCCCCUCACCCCAAUCCUAACCUUAAGGUCCAUAAACUGUGACCUUAAGGUUAGGAUUGGGGUGAGGGGAAGGUUAAGUAGUUCACAAGUAGUUCUAAUGUCCGUCUCACCACCGGCGUUGGUUACCGACGCUCUGGGACAAUGCGUCAGCUGUUUGUUCCUGAUCGUCAUAUCCUGACACGCUGGGGCAUCCCGAAACGUCAUAUAUUAACGCUUGGUCACAUGCGUCAUAUUUUGACGCCUUGGGUGUGAGAAUGUGCGUUUUGACCACGGUUUGCUUUGCAGAAUGAGUAAAGGAUGACCUGUUGGUAUAGAAACCCAAUUCUUGACUUGACUUUAGAAAGCAAAUCCUUGCAAAUUGUAGGAAAUCACAUAUUUUCUUUGUUUUCACGGUUUAAUAAUUAUUAUGGUAAAUGUAUUAUUUAUAAAUGAAGCACCUUCUAGGGUUCUGAUGCUGAACCAGCAUCCCAUCUUGGACCAGCAUACUGGUCCAGCAGGAUUAUUUAAUGAUAUUUGGACAUCUCGCCGAGUCUCAUCUCGUCUUUCAUGUGGAUGAUUGGUCAAACUGUAGAAAAAUAUAUUCUUUUUGUGCGAUGCCUGGUGAAAAAAUUUGCUAUGUCCAAUUUCUGUACAUUUAACCAGAUCAUAAUCCAUUCACUGUGAGAGUGUUUUGAAAAACUUUCAGCUACAAAUUAUAUUUUACCUAUUGUAAAAGAUUGGCACAGUUAUGGUGUUUAAAUGUUAAAUAGUGUGGCCAUUGUUACUUGGGUUAGCUCUAGAAGUUAUGCAAUUAUUAAGAUGCAUCCAAUGACUGCUUUCUGGGAUUUUAAUUCAUGAGACAGAGGCAAAAACAUUAUGAUGCACCCCUCUCCUUGUGGUGGCGUGUGAUAAGGAAGGUAAAAUGCAAACACAUUGGGACAUAAUUAAGAUAGUUUGUGACAAAACUGCACCUAGAAAAUUAGCACAACUGUCCCCCCGAUUGUCACAAUUAGCUUACACUUUCGCCACAUGCCCCACAUGACUCGGCUAUAUGCAAAACUUGCAAACUUGUGAAACAUAUUUUCUGUAUGUAACAUAAAACAUUUUAUACUUUUUCCCAGCUAGUCAAGGAUACGUGGAAAUGUGUAUUUGACUGUAGCAUCAGCCAGGACUGAGAGGGUGUGGACACCUGUCUGAGAUAUAGCAGUACCAGCCAAUGCAGGUCAAGUCAACAUGAGGUGCUGUAAUUGUCUUUAGAGACAGUCUGUUGCAUGGAAGGGUUAAAGUGGUCCGGUGGUCAUUAAAUAUAGAUUCAAACUAAAAGCCUGUAUGGAUGCAUUGAAGACAAGUUGGAUACAGAGUGAGAUACUUCUCUAAUGACAAUAUUUUCAGUAACUCAAUAGAAAAGUAAUACACUAGCUACUCUUUCAUUCUUUAUAGUCUAUUGUAGUGGUAAUCCCUAUAGUUUCUCUGCACUCGUGACCGUUUAUUCUUUUGUCAAGAACGUUCAUGAUGAUAAUCAGCGUUGUGAAGUAAAAUCAUACUGAUGGGUCUAGCAGAGCGACUUGCAAAGCUCUAGUUCACUUCCACAUGACUAGGCCUGUAUCCAGACUCAUUCCUAUGUUGCUCUCAGGGAGACAGGAAGAACAGUUGAGCUUUAUUGGGGGAAUCUGAUGCAGUGGGUGCAUGGUCCAGUGAGUACGGAGUGGAUCAGUGGUUAUUGUUCACUCCAACUUAAGUCACCUUCACUUCUUCAACAGACAAGCUCACUUUAUAUUCCAGACACAGUAACCACAGCUGGUUCCUUCACUAGUUAUUAUUGUAAAGAUAAUUUAUGCAGCUUGACACCUUAUCAAGACACAGAAAUAUUAAAACUAGAGCCAACAUGGCUGAGUUCUUUUUUAUAUAGAUGAUAAAGGUUGUAGUAGCGGUUCAUGCAAACUAGAGAUCGACCAAAAUGGGUUUUUCUAGUGCCAAUGGCGAUAUGUAGAGGCCAUGAUCAGCCAAUGGCCAGUAUGUGCUGCCAAUUUUGGGCCAAUAGUUGUUUUUGUUAUCUAGACAGUUUGUGCCUUAUUUGCAUGCUAAAAUGUGAGUAAUAACAACUGAUGCACAACUCUGAACCUGAAAUCAUGUUUAACCUCUGAAUUAACUAAUUCUUGAAUUUUAAUUUUGCACACUGUAAUAUAAAACAAAAGAUUCAACCAAAGCCGAUCAAGCAAAUCAAUAAACGGACAGAGACUUAAAUAUAAAAUAGAUUAAUAAGAAUAAUUAUCAGUUCAAAAUAUUGUUUUAAAGCAUUUAUUAAGCAGAUUAUUUUCAGGAACACAGAUAUACAUUUAAAUAAAAUUCGGCAGCAGCAUAGUCUGCCCACAGGUCGACACAACAAAAGAGGCAUAUCGGCCAAUGCCAGUAUGUAAAAAAUAAUCCUAGACAUAGAUAGAUCUGUCUAUUUCUAAUGAAUGCCUACACUUGAAUGAUCACUUUACUCUGCUUAAUACUGAAAAGAAAAAUUAUGAGCUGAAAAAUGUUAUGAAUCUCUUGUGCCAUAACUCAGACAAGAAUGUUAAAUCCUAUUCCUUCCACGUUUACUUGUGUCAAAUAAAUGGCAAAAUAAAACAAUUAUGAACAUGUGCCCUUCAAAAGGUUUGAAGAUUGCAUUUAUGCGAAUGCUGUUUUACUUAGUAACAGUAAAGGACAUCUUUGGGACCGCUUUUCCUGUGGGAAUAGUAAUGAUAACAUAACACAACAAAAUGCAUAGGUCAUAUAAUACAAAUGCAUUUUUAUGUACUUCACACGCAUUUUAAAAAUAAAACUCAAUGAAGCCCCAUUCAUACAAAAGAAAAGCUUCUGUCAGUCUUACCCCCAAAUGAUCCAAGGACCACUACCAAUCCUCGGUCCAGUGGUGGGAGACACCUGUGCAAUCAUGUCUUCUGUACUCGGACUUCACAUGGGAGAGUAAAAGCUUCACAAAGGGCAAAGAUCAGUUGUCGCAGUGGGAUUUCAUCCCACUCAUUCUCUUCCUAUCAGAUCCAGAUCCAUUAAUGUGCAACCCCAGCCAUGUGUGAUCAAUGGUUAAUCAAUACGCUUGUCUGUAAUCUAAACAUGCGUGCUACUGACAUGUUAGCAGGUCAGUAGGCUGUCAGGUGUGAGCGUCUGAGUUACUUUGGUUUCUUCCUCCUACAAAGAAGUUGUAUAAUGUUAAUGUGAGUGUUGGACUAUGGAGUGGAAGCACAUGAGCAGCAUUGCACACAAAGAGCUUCCCAGUGCUCAGUCACAUGACGCAGCACAUGUUCUUGUGUUGUUUCUCUUUCAUCCGCAUGGCUCUGGAGGAACAGGUCAAUGUUGUUUCACUUCCUGGACAGAUUUAUAAAUCUGUUCAUUAAAGCAAAAAGAGAGAAUGUGAGGGAAAUAGAAGCUUUGUGCAACGACUAAGAAAGCAAUGCAAUGUGUAAAAGUAAUUCCAAUAAUAAAUAAAUAAUGGCCUAUUUCAAAUCUUGAUUUUUUUAAACAUGUUUGCUUGUCACUGCUUCUGCAUGAUGAUUUCACUGGAUCUGGUUAAACACAAAAGAAUCAUUAAAUUAGAGCAAGAACAACAGUUUAUAAUAUAUUACAAUAAAAUUAAAAGAUGCUUAAAUAUCUAAAAACAAACUGUUUUGGUUUUCUUUUCUCUUUGCCCCCGGCUCUGUUUUCUCCCCACAAUCUGGCAUCUGUGCUUUUUUUGUUGUGCAACACUGUGAAGCAGCCAGUCACUCCUGAUCUGCAUUGAUCUGUUUGCUAAGUUUGUGAAAUUCACAUAAAAACCCAACACGUUCCUGUGGUUCAAACAUGUCCCAAAGCAAAGGUGGAAAACUUUUAUCGAACCUGACCUGAAGCAAAGAUACGCAUCAGGUUCUCACACGUUAGUAAUCAGAAUAAAUCUGACAUCUUGUUUGGCAAAUGAGAUUAUGUGUUACAGAUUAUCCUUUAUGUGUAAAAAAAAAUCAGUUUAUUUUAAUUUUCUAAACUUAAAUCUCACCAAUAGUCAGUGUUGAGUUUGUGUUAACAGUAAGGACACACACACACACACACACACACACACACACACACACACACACACACACACACACACACACACACACACACACACACACACACACACACACAUGCACGCACGCACGCACGCACGCACACACACACACACACACACAUGCGCACGUACACACACCAUCUAAGGUUAUGCAGUGAAACCAAGCAACUAAGCUGUGCAAUAAAAUAAAAUAAAUAAAAAGAAUUAUCAAGGUCACAACAUCAGUGAACGGUGGCCCAGAAGGUUCAACUAAGUACGAAACCACAACAAAAAUGCACAAAAGAAGUCAUAAUAAAACAGUUGUAAAGAUAUUAUGAAAUGAAAAAGCAUAAUAUGUUUUUAAAAUAUCCAUAUAAUUUUUAAACAAGGAAGGUACACAAUGACUUUAUAUCUUUAUAUCAAUUUAACAGGUGAAACUGCUAUGCUAGCAAUUAGCCUCUAUGCUAGCAACAUGUUGCUCCGUAUCUAAGCGGUUAUUACAUGUAUUCUCACAAGUUUGCUCAAUCUGAGAGCCUCUGGGUAAAUGUAAUGCUCUAAACUUUGCAUUUGGCAUCCUGGUUUCUAAUUAUUUGGGGAUGUUCAACGCCAACAGAGUUCCAUUUUCCAUUCUACUUGUGUGGAGAGUAGUGAUGUGUUGGUCGCGAACGGGCCGGCUCUACGAGCCGGCUCUUUGAAGUGAACAACGGGAGCCGGCUCGUAAUUGGGAGCUGUCCCCUCCCCCCUCCCCUCUUGCUUUGGUGAAAGCUACAGGCGAUUGGUCAACAUGUGCAACUGCGUGUCCAGACUGUCCGCACACAGAGCAGUAGGGGCGGGGAAGAGUAUGAAGGUCAAUCUGUUUCAAAAAGCACAAACCUGUAGAUCUGUUGUGUGUAUUUGUACUACAUGAUGGGUGCUUGAAAACAGUGUGUGUGUGUGCGUGCAGUACAGUGUGAGGAGCUGUACACCAACACCCGUAAACCUGUAAAGCUAAAUAUGCACCUGUAAGAAACACUCACAUGCAUUUGAAAUAAAAUACAGUUGUGUGUGACAUUUUCAACUACAAGUCUGUAAACACAAGUGUACAGAUCUGUUUCUGCACACGCUCAACUUUUUUAUUACAGUUGCACAGCUUUCCUCUCACACAUCUGAUUUUUGAAACUAUUUUCACGAUUAAUAUGUGUCAAAAUGCACAAGUUUGUAAAUUUGUUGUCUGAUUCCGUACAACACAAUGUGGACUUGAAGAUUGGAUGUGAGUGUGUGUACCGUAAAAGGUGAGCUUGAAGUUUUGAGGUGAGUGUCUGUGCAUUAAAACGUGAGAAGCUGCACAUCAACAUGUGUGAAAUUGUGAAGAUAAAUGGUACUUGUAAGAAAAAGUAAAUUGUAUGUGAAACAAAAUAAACUUACAUGUAAAAUUUUCUUCUGCGACCCAGUAAAUACAACUUCUCAAAUACGUUUCUGCGCAUGCUCAGUUGUUGUUUUACAAGCGCACAACUCUCCUCUCGCGAGUCUGACUUUUGAAACACUUCUGGCAGGUUGUGUGUUGCAAAUUGCAGCUGUGUGUAUCUGCAGAGGCGAGCGGAGCAGGGGAUGAGGGCGAGGGUGGGGGCGGAAGGAGGAGCCACAGAGGGAGGGUUGUCAUUGGUCGGCUCUGGUUUCCAGGACAACAGGCUCAACCAAUCAGAGUGAGAGCUGCGUUUUUCCCUCGGCUUUCAGUCCGCUGCCGUCUGCAGUUCGCGAUGGCUGAACGAGCUGGGGAACUGCUGCUCAACUAUCUGCUUGAAAGACUUUACAACCGUUCCUCUAAUUGGCUUGAUCGAGUUCCUCUAGAUCUCGAUUUUUUGGAAUUUGUAUGUUGUCAGGAGCUGGUUAUUCUGGGUGCUAUCUCAAACCAUUUGACGUCCCUCAGGACAUUUUAAAUGCACUUGCCCAAGUUUAUCAGAGACCUGCAGUCAAAAUAAAAAAGCACAAAUUAUUGUUGCUCACGAAAGAGGAGCCAUUGGUCGUCCCAAACUACUUAUUCCUGAGAAAUACACAGAACACCUCAUUUCUUUAGGUUUACCUGUCACGUGUAUUGCACAGCUGCUGGGGAUAUCUAGAGUUACAUUACACAGGCAAGUGAAAGAAUGGGGUUUAAGUGUGAGCCAAACUUACAGCACCAUGACUCACGAUGAGCUAGACUCUCUAGUGUCACAGAUCCAUGCCAGAAACCCAAAUGCAGGGUAUAGAUUGAUAAUAAUAAUAAUGCAUUGAACUUAUAUAGCGCUUUUCAAGUCACCAUGAUGAAAGGUCUGCUGAAGUCACAAGGAUAUAGACUUCAGUGGGAGCGUGUUCGGUCCUCUAUGCGCAGAUUAGACACUGCAGGCGUGGUUUCCUGAAUGUCCUAUCUCCGUUGUGUGGUCAGAAGAACGUAUUCUGUGCCUAGCCCACAAUCAUUUUAUUGCAGGAGCUUUACAUUCCACAGAUUGAAUGGGAAUCCAGUGGACUCAUCGACAAUGAACACAACUCUAGUGUUCAAGUUCCAGAAGUUGAAUGCCCGCUAAGUCCAGGAGAAUAUUCUGGACUCUGUGCAGCUGUGGAUCCACUGAGGUCAAUCUUGGGAUUGACAGUUAUUUAGCCACACGGCAUUACAUGCAAACCAUUGGCUAUAAUAAAAUCUUUCAUUUUUUGCA